rnacentral:rRNA from 1 species
ACGAACGCUGGCGGCAGGCCUAACACAUGCAAGUCGAGCGCGCCCUUCGGGGUGAGCGGCGGACGGGUGAGUAACGCGUGGGAACGUGCCCUUUUCUACGGAAUAGCCUCGGGAAACUGAGAGUAAUACCGUAUACGCCCUUUGGGGGAAAGAUUUAUCGGAAAAGGAUCGGCCCGCGUUGGAUUAGGUAGUUGGUGGGGUAAUGGCCUACCAAGCCGACGAUCCAUAGCUGGUUUGAGAGGAUGAUCAGCCACACUGGGACUGAGACACGGCCCAGACUCCUACGGGAGGCAGCAGUGGGGAAUCUUAGACAAUGGGGGCAACCCUGAUCUACCCAUGCCGCGUGAGUGAUGAAGGCCUUAGGGUUGUAAAGCUCUUUCAGCUGGGAAGAUAAUGACGGUACCAGCAGAAGAAGCCCCGGCUAACUCCGUG